rnacentral:rRNA from 1 species
UACAGAGGUCUCAAGCGUUGUUCGGAUUCAUUGGGCGUAAAGGGUGCGUAGGCGGCGCGGUAAGUCGGGUGUGAAAUCUCGGGGCUUAACUCCGAAACUGCAUUCGAUACUGCCGUGCUUGAGGACUGGAGAGGAGACUGGAAUUUACGGUGUAGCGGUGAAAUGCGUAGAUAUCGUAAGGAAGACCAGUGGCGAAGGCGGGGUCUCUGGACAGUUCCUGACGCUGAGGCACGGAAGGUCAGGGGAGCAAACGGG